AUUGAACGCUGGCGGCAUGCCUUACACAUGCAAGUCGAACGGCAGCACGGGGCAACCUGGUGGCGAGUGGCGAACGGGUGAGUAAUGCAUCGGAACGUGCCAUUGAGUGGGGGAUAACGUAGCGAAAGUUGCGCUAAUACCGCAUAUUCUGUGAGCAGGAAAGCAGGGGACCGCAAGGCCUUGCGCUCUUUGAGCGGCCGAUGUCAGAUUAGCUAGUUGGUGAGGUAACGGCUUACCAAGGCGACGAUCUGUAGCGGGUCUGAGAGGAUGAUCCGCCACACUGGAACUGAGACACGGUCCAGACUCCUACGGGAGGCAGCAGUGGGGAAUUUUGGACAAUGGGCGCAAGCCUGAUCCAGCCAUGCCGCGUGAGUGAAGAAGGCCUUCGGGUUGUAAAGCUCUUUCGGCCGGGAAGAAAUCGCAUGGGUUAAUACCUGUGUGGAUGACGGUACCGGAAUAAGAAGCACCGGCUAACUACGU
rnacentral:rRNA from 1 species